GGGGAUGCUGGGCAUCGAUAGGGGCUCAUUGACAUGCAUGCGGGUCGAGCAGGUUCGUCCACUCGUUAAACGGUCGAACAUCGAAUACCUGCCAACGUAUUCACAAAGAUUCGGAACGCACUGCGCGCUCCGGCUCUUGCAAUGGCGGUCGCCUAAGGCGCCCGCCACAUCGGUCUUCUGACUCCUCUAGGAAGGGUGCCGGUGUCAUACCGAGGAUAGGGUGCGAAAGUUUCACUCCGCGAUCGUACUCGAAUGGCAGGAGUGCGCCACGAUGUAUUCUUGAUGUGUUCUCAUGCAUCGCGGUUGUAUACCGAACGCAUCUAUACCCGUAGACGUGCAUGCCGAAGAUUCUCUACACGCGGGUUCAACUCCCGCCAUCUCCAAUA
rnacentral:tmRNA from 1 species